CCCUCUUCUACCCACGCGCCGAGAAAGCGCACUUUCCUCCCGGCAUCCGCCCCCUCUUUAUGCCUCAAAGCCCCCCCCGGGGAGGAGCGACCCCUUUCCUCCAGCGCAGAGACCCCAGUCCCCACGCGCGAGCGCGCCAACCUCCAUCCUCCCACCGCAUCCACGCACACUCGAGUCCUUUCUCCUCCCUCAGUCCCCAGGAACGGAGGCGCACACACACACACACACACACACACACACACACGCCCGGGGCGUUCCUUUGAGGAGCAACCAAGAACCCCGGCGAAGCCAAAGGAACGUCGGAGGCGGGGGUGGGGGGCCGAGGGAGGUAGAUGGGGUCGUCGAGUCUACGCGGGAUUGAAUAAUUCCAGGAUCCAGGGGGGUAUUUGCCUCUGUUGCUCCCUUUGCCUAGAAGCCUUACCUAGUCCCAUUCAUGCCUUUGGGAGUCCUGAGAAAAUACUUCAAGCUGGAUCCUAAAUGUCAUCCUCUCAACAAAGCCUUUAAUUGAGCUUUCCAACCCAUCAUGCUUCCUCAAAAACAGUUGUUUCCACUGAAGUCCCUGUCAGCAUUGUGCAAACUCCAAAUUCCCCUUCGACUCUGAAACUCCCAGAAGCUCUUUUCAUGAAGCCAGGGUAGGG